rnacentral:rRNA from 1 species
UACGUAGGGUGCGAGCGUUAUCCGGAAUUAUUGGGCGUAAAGAGCUCGUAGGCGGUUUGUCGCGUCUGCCGUGAAAGUCCGGGGCUCAACUCCGGAUCUGCGGUGGGUACGGGCAGACUAGAGUGAUGUAGGGGAGACUGGAAUUCCUGGUGUAGCGGUGAAAUGCGCAGAUAUCAGGAGGAACACCGGUGGCGAAGGCGGGUCUCUGGGCCGAUACUGACGCUGAGGAGCGAAAGCGUGGGGAGCGAACAGG